AUUCAGGUUCUACUAAGAACCAUCUCCAGGAAUAAGAGAAAACUUU
rfam:Ipomoea nil DNA, scaffold: scaffold0876, cultivar: Tokyo-kokei standard.